GAUGAACGCUGGCGGCGUGCCUAAUACAUGCAAGUCGAGCGAACGGACGAGAAGCUUGCUUCUCUGAUGUUAGCGGCGGACGGGUGAGUAACACGUGGAUAACCUACCUAUAAGACUGGGAUAACUUCGGGAAACCGGAGCUAAUACCGGAUAAUAUUUUGAACCGCAUGGUUCAAAAGUGAAAGACGGUCUUGCUGUCACUUAUAGAUGGAUCCGCGCUGCAUUAGCUGGUUGGUAAGGUAACGGCUUACCAAGGCAACGAUGCAUAGCCGACCUGAGAGGGUGAUCGGCCACACUGGAACUGAGACACGGUCCAGACUCCUACGGGAGGCAGCAGUAGGGAAUCUUCCGCAAUGGGCGAAAGCCUGACGGAGCAACGCCGCGUGAGUGAUGAAGGUCUUCGGAUCGUAAAACUCUGUUAUUAGGGAAGAACAUAUGUGUAAGUAACUGUGCACAUCUUGACGGUACCUAAUCAGAAAGCCACGGCUAACUACGUGCCAGCAGCCGCGGUAAUACGUAGGUGGCAAGCGUUAUCCGGAAUUAUUGGGCGUAAAGCGCGCGUAGGCGGUUUUUUAAGUCUGAUGUGAAAGCCCACGGCUCAACCGUGGAGGGUCAUUGGAAACUGGAAAACUUGAGUGCAGAAGAGGAAAGUGGAAUUCCAUGUGUAGCGGUGAAAUGCGCAGAGAUAUGGAGGAACACCAGUGGCGAAGGCGACUUUCUGGUCUGUAACUGACGCUGAUGUGCGAAAGCGUGGGGAUCAAACAGGAUUAGAU
rnacentral:rRNA from 1 species